GUGCGCGUAGUCUAGUGGUAAGAUCCUUGACUGUUACCAGGAAGCCCUCCUUAUGCUAUCUCGAGACCCGGCGUUCGAUUCCCGGCGCGCACC